rnacentral:rRNA from 1 species
UACGUAGGGUGCGGAGCGUUAAUCGGAAUACUGGGCGUAAAGCGUGCGCAGGCGGUUCGUUAAGUCAGCUGUGAAAGCCCCGGGCUUAACCUGGGAAUGGCGGUUGAAACUGGCGAACUUGAAUCUGGCAGAGGGGGUGGAAUUCCACGUGUAGCAGUGAAAUGCGUAGAGAUGUGGAGGAACACCGAGUGGCGGAAGGUCAGCCCCUGGGCUGAGAUUGACGCU